rnacentral:rRNA from 15 species
AUGACCUGUGCCUAGGGGUGAAAGGCCAAUCAAACUCGGAGAUAGCUGGUUCUCCGCGAAAUCUAUUUAGGUAGAGCGUCUCGUAUUACCUUCGGGGGUAGAGCACUGGAUGGGCUAGGGGGUCCCAACGACUUACCAAACCUAACCAAACUCCGAAUACCGAAGAGUAGAGCGAGGCAGACACACUGCGGGUGCUAAGGUCCGUAGUGGAGAGGGAAACAGCCCUGACCGCCAGCUAAGGUCCCUAAGUUAUCACUAAGUGGGAAACGAUGUGGGAAUGCUUAGACAACCAGGAGGUUGGCUUAGAAGCAGCCACCCUUUAAAGAAAGCGUAAUAGCUCACUAGUCGAGUCGGCCUGCGCGGAAGAUGUAACGGGGCUAAGCAAUAUACCGAAGCUGCGGCAGCAUGUUUACAUGCUGGGUAGGGGAGCGUUGUGUAAGUGGAUGAAGGUGAGUUGUAAAGCUUGCUGGACAUAUCACAAGUGCGAAUGCUGACAUGAGUAACGAUAAUGGGAGUGAAAAACUCCCACGCCGGAAGACCAAGGUUUCCUGUCCCAUGCUAAUCAGGGCAGGGUAAGUCGGCCCCUAAGGCGAGGCAGAAAUGCGUAGUCGAUGGGAAACGGGUUAAUAUUCCCGUACUUAUAUAAUCAGUGAUGGAGGGACGGAGAAGGCUAGGCAAGCUUGGCGUUGGUUGUCCAAGUGAAAGCGAGUAGGCCGAAAACUUAGGUAAAUCCGGGUUUUUAAAGCUGAGACGCGAGACGAGCCACUACGGUGGUGAAGUUGUUGAUGCCCUGCUUCCAGGAAAAGCUUCUAAACUUAUGAUUAUAUGAACCGUACCCCAAACCGACACAGGUGGUCAGGUAGAGAAUACUAAGGCGCUUGAGAGAACUCGGGUGAAGGAACUCGGCAAAAUUGUACCGUAACUUCGGGAGAAGGUACGCCCCUGUUUGUGAAGACUUCGCGUCGUAAGCAGAUGGGGGCCGCAGUGACCAGGUGGCUGGGACUGUUUAUUAAAAACACAGCACUCUGCAAACUCGUAAGAGGACGUAUAGGGUGUGACACCUGCCCGGUGCCGGAAGGUUAAUUGAUGGGGUUAGCGUAAGCGAAGCUCUUGAUCGAAGCCCCGGUAAACGGCGGCCGUAACAAUAACGGUCCUAAGGUAGCGAAAUUCCUUGUCGGGUAAGUUCCGACCUGCACGAAUGGCGUAACGACUUCCCCGCUGUCUCCAACAUCGACUCAGCGAAAUUGAAUUGCCUGUCAAGAUGCAGGCUUCCCGCGGUUAGACGGAAAGACCCCGUGCACCUUUACUACAGCUUCGCACUGGCAUCAGGAUUGUGAUGUGCAGGAUAGGUGGUAGGCAUCGAAACCAGAACGCUAGUUCCGGUGGAGCCUCCCUUGAGAUACCACCCUUCGCACUCUUGAUGUCUAACCGCGGUCCGUUAUCCGGAUCCGGGACCCUGCGUGGCGGGUAGUUUGACUGGGGCGGUCGCCUCCUAAAGCGUAACGGAGGCGCGCGAAGGUUGGCUCAGAGCGGUCGGAAAUCGCUCGUUGAGUGCAAUGGCAGAAGCCAGCCUGACUGCGAGACUGACAAGUCGAGCAGAGACGAAAGUCGGCCAUAGUGAUCCGGUGGUCCCGAGUGGAAGGGCCAUCGCUCAACGGAUAAAAGGUACGCCG